GGUUCGAGUAUGAAUGAAGUUUUGAUAAUUUUUUUUAUUAAUUUUAUAAUGAAUUUUUUUUGUAAAUAAAAAAUUUUGUUUUUAUUUUUGCAAAGAUAAGUCUUCGUAAAUUCUUUUUAAUUUUUUUAAAAAAAAAAAAUUAAAGUUUUCUAGGGUAGAAUUUUUUGUAUGUAUAUUUUUCUAUUAUUAGUUUAGAGAAUUACUUCGGAGUUAACAGAAAUUCAUAUUUUAUCUAGUUCUUAUAGUAAAGUAAGUUUUACAUCGGUGUUGUAUUUAUAUUGUUUGGGAGGUAGAAUGUUCAAUAUUUAAGACUGUUCUUCUUUUUAGUAUAACGUGAUAUUAGUUUAAUUCAUCGUGAGAUAGAAUUGUUUAUCUUGAAAAAUAAUUUUUUUUUUUAGGUUUUUAGUACGAAAGGAAAAAUAGUUGAAGUUAAAAACUUUAUGAUGUACGG
rnacentral:rRNA from 1 species